rnacentral:tRNA from 1 species
UCGAACCUCGCCUUUGGCCCACAAAAGCCAAGAUUUUGCCCAAAAUGCCCCCAG